rnacentral:rRNA from 1 species
UACAGAGGUGGCAAGCGUUGUUCGGAAUUACUGGGCGUAAAGGGCGCGUAGGCGGUUCGUUAAGUCCUGUGUGAAAUCCCCCGGCUCAACUGGGGAACUGCACAGGAAACUAGCGGGCUUGAGUUCGGGAGAGGGAAGCGGAAUUCCGGGUGUAGCGGUGAAAUGCGUAGAUAUCUGGAGGAACACCGGUGGCGAAGGCGGCAUCCUGGACCGACACUGACGCUGAGGAGCGAAAGCCAGGGGAGCAAACGGG